rnacentral:sRNA from 1 species
AUUAAGACCUCCUUGACACGCACAGAUAAGAACAAAAAUUCUAUUGCACCAAUUCUCUGAGUGUGAAUGAUCAUGAUUUUUACUUUUCACAAUAUGGAUGUAGCGAACAUUGACGAAAGAAUCCACAUGCUGAGAGAGUCUUUGAGAAGGAAAGCUAUGAACCGAGUAUAAAGGAAUGAUCCGAGUAUAACAGAAUGAACCGAGUAUAACGGAAUGAACUGGUUAUAACAUAGGAGUAAUGUUACAGUGACAGAGCCCAGUACUGUUCAGUGUACCAGUUACAUUAGUAGUACAACUAUUUUAACAACAGCUUGGACUUUGGUUCGUUGUGUUAAACAUCAUUGUGACAUAGGCCUGCCUAUUUCAUUGGUCUUUGAAUUUAACUUUUGAGCAAAGGUAUGUUUCACUAAAAAACCAGCGUUAUUUUAACUUGUUUUGACGCAAGAAAAAGAUAGUUACAUCCUACUGAAAAUCCAAGGUCUUGUUAAAAUGUUUUUAUAUGUUAUGUGCAUCUACAUGUAUAUAGAAAUGUGAUUUUCAUUAUGAAACAUACAUUUAUAAAAAAAAAAAUUGUCAAAGCC